GGCCUAAUGGCCCAAUGGCAAGGCGCUUGACUACGAUCCAAAGGGUGUAAACAGCUCUGCAAUCGGCAAAUCAAGAGAUUCCAGGUUCGACCCCUGGUUAGGUCA